rnacentral:lncRNA from 1 species
UGUCCCAGGAGUGGUGGUGGUCCCAGGGGUCAUGGUGGUCCCAGGGGCCGUGGUGGUCCAUGGGUUUGGGGUGGUCCAUGGGUUUGUGGUGGUCCCAGGGGUCAUGGUGGUCCAUGGGUUUGUGGUGGUCCAUGGGAUUGUGGUGGUCUCAGGAGUGGGUGUGGUCCAAAGUGAGGUAGAGGUGGCCCAAGGACCAGUCAUAGUUCCAGGAUUGCUGGUGGUCUCGGGGUGGGUGGUGAUGCCAGGGGUGGAUGUGGUGGUCCACAGAGAGGUUGUGGUGGUGCCAGGAUUCGUGGUUGUCCCUGGGCCAGGGGUGGUCCAAGGCAUGGUGGUGAUGGUUUCAGGGGGGGUGAUGGUCUCAGGGGUGAUAGUGGUCUCUAGAAUGGUGGUGGUCUCAGGAGUGGCGAUGGUCUCAGGACUGGUGAUGGUGUCCAGAAUGGUGGUGGUCUCAGGGGUGGUGGUGGUCUCAGGGUUGAUGGUGGUCUCAGGACUGGUGAUGGUCUCAAGAAUGGUGGUGGUCUCAGGGCUGAUGAUGGUUCCAGGUACCAUGGUUGUCCCAGAGGUUGUGGUGGUCCCAGGGUUGCUGCUGGUCUCAGGGAUGGUGAUGGUUCCAGGUGUCAUGGUUGUUUCAGGAGUUGGGGUGGUCUCAAAGCUUGUGGUGGCCUCAGGGGUUUCGGUGGACCAAGAUGAGGUAGGAGUGGUCCCAGGACCUGUGGUGGUCCCAGGGAUUGUGGUGGUGGUGGACUCAGGAUUGGUGGUCUCAGGUGUUGUGGCCCCAGGGGCUGAGGUGGUCAAGGCAUUGCUGGUGGUCCCAGGACUGGUGUGGGUGGUCUCAGGGUUUGCAGUUGUCUCAGGGGUGGUGAUGGUCUCAGGACUGGUGAUGGUCUCAGGGGUGGUGAUGGUCUCAGGGGUGAUGGUGGUCUCAAGAAUGGUGGUGGUCUCAAAAAUGGUGAUGGUCUCAGGGGUGGUGAUGGUCUCAGGGGUGAUGGUGGUCUCAGGACCGGUGAUGGUCUCAGGGGUGGUGAUGGUCUCAGGGGUGAUGG